CACAGCGGUCCGUAUUCGAUUUCCCAUAUCUCCUCUAUGAAACCAUAAUAAGAGUCCAUAGAGUACGACAAACUCAAAUAUUGCUGAAAGUUUACAUAGAAAUACAUAAAUUAUUUAGCUCAUAUUUAAUUUACAAAUAACUAAACUAUUAAAAAAUUCAAUAUUUCCCACGUAAUGUACUUAUUCUAAAAAUGGCUAAUUGCAUACCUCUAUCUGAAAAGCACUAAAGUAUCAAAUUACACCUACAAUUUAUAUGGCUAAUUUCUAAGUAUUAAAAACACAUUUACUCUAAUUUUUCCCUAAUACAUAAAAUUGAAAUAAUCUCAAUUCUACCUCACAUUUACUGUCUAUUUUCCCUCACAUUCAAACUAUCCAUCACAUUGUAGCUCAAAAACAUGUAUAAAUACAAAUCCUCUACAUGCUUAACAACAAACAAACUAAUUUUUC
rnacentral:lncRNA from 1 species